UACGUAGGGUGCGAGCGUUAAUCGGAAUUACUGGGCGUAAAGCGUGCGCAGGCGGCUAUUUAAGCUUGCUGUGAAAGCCCCGGGCUUAACCUGGGAACUGCAGUGAGGACUGGAUGGCUGGAGUGUGGCAGAGGGGGGGUGGAAUUCCACGUGUAGCAGUGAAAUGCGUAGAGAUGUGGAGGAACACCGAUGGCGAAGGCAGCCCCCUGGGCUAACACUGACGCUCAGGCACGAAAGCGUGGGGAGCAAACAGG
rnacentral:rRNA from 1 species